GACGAACGCUGGCGGCGUGCCUAACACAUGCAAGUCGAACGGGACCAGGGGCAACUCUGGUUCAGUGGCGGACGGGUGCGUAACACGUGAGGAACAUGACCUUCGGCGGGGAGUAGCCGGCCCAACGGCCGGGUAAGUACCGCGUACGACCACUUGGGACGAUCCUUGAGUGGUGAAAGCAGCAAUGCGCCGAUGAAGUGCCUCGCGGCCUAUCAGCUAGUUGGUGAGGAACGGCUCACCAAGGCGACGACGGGUAGCUGGUCUGAGAGGAUGGCCAGCCACAUUGGGACUGAGACACGGCCCAGACUCCUACGGGAGGCAGCAGUGGGGAAUAUUGCGCAAUGGACGAAAGUCUGACGCAGCGACG
rnacentral:rRNA from 1 species